rnacentral:rRNA from 1 species
UACGGAGGGUGCAAGCGUUGUUCGGAAUCACUGGGCGUAAAGGGCGUGUAGGCGGUCCGCUAAGUCUGAUGUGAAAGCCCGAGGCUUACCCUCGGAAGUGCAUUGGAGACUGGCGGACUGGAGUCCCGGAGAGGAGGGUGGAAUUCCUGGUGUAGCGGUGAAAUGCGUAGAUAUCAGGAAGAACACCCGUGGCUAAGGCGGCUCUCUAGUACGGUACUGACGCUGAGACGCGAAAGCGUGGGGAGCGAACAGG